rnacentral:rRNA from 1 species
GACGAACGCUGGCGGCGUGCUUAACACAUGCAAGUCGAACGGAAAGGCCCUGCUUUUGUGGGGUGCUCGAGUGGCGAACGGGUGAGUAACACGUGAGUAACCUGCCCUUGACUUUGGGAUAACUUCAGGAAACUGGGGCUAAUACCGGAUAGGAGCUCCUGCUGCAUGGUGGGGGUUGGAAAGUUUCGGCGGUUGGGGAUGGACUCGCGGCUUAUCAGCUUGUUGGUGGGGUAGUGGCUUACCAAGGCUUUGACGGGUAGCCGGCCUGAGAGGGUGACCGGCCACAUUGGGACUGAGAUACGGCCCAGACUCCUACGGGAGGCAGAAGUGGGGAACAUUGAACAAUGGGCGGAAGCCUGAUGCAGCAACGCCGCGUGCGGGAUGACGGCCUUCGGGUUGUAAACCGCUUUCGCCUGUGACGAAGCGUGAGUGACGGUAAUGGGUAAAGAAGCACCGGCUAACUACGUG